GGUUCUCCAUUUCCGCAAGCGGGUCUAACCGAGCAGCCAGUCGACUACCAGUGCAUGGGAAAGAACGGAAACUUUUGUUAUGUUUUAACUGCGGGGUAUAAUGGAGAAAUGGACUACAAGGGCGGAACAUGCAACAAUAAAAAAUGUCAAUAUACCGAAAUUCCACA